UGUUUUUCAAGCAUACCCACAGACCAGUCAGCACACACUUCCCCAUUUCAAGCCUAUAGAAACCUCUAGACUCGGCCUCAUCACUAGCAACCCACCUUUGGGUCCCAUCUUGCUGUUGAGAGCUUUUCUUUUGCUCAACAAAUUCUACUCUGCCUUAGUUACUCUCUGGUGUAUAAUGCUUAAAGAUACUAUUAUUAAAUUACACUUAAAACAUCAGGCAUGGUGCCUCACACCUAUAAUCCCAGCACUUUGAGAGGCCAAGGUGGCAGGAUUGCCUGAGGCCAGGAGUUUAAGAUCGGCCUGGACAACACAGUGAAAACCUGUCUCUACAAAAAAAUUUAAAAGUUUGGCCAAGUGCAGUGGCUCACACCUGUAAUCCCAGCACUUUGGGAGGCUGAAGCGGGCAGAUCACCUGAGGCCAAGAGUUCAAGACCAGCCUGACCAGUAUGGUGAAAACCCGUCUCUACUAAAA
rnacentral:lncRNA from 1 species